rnacentral:tRNA from 1 species
GGCUCCUCGGCCGGCGCGGGCCGGUGCUCCUUCGUCGCGGGGGCGUCGGGCUCGGCGUCGAGCCAGCCGUGGUGUUCGUCCUCGGAGGGACCG